rnacentral:lncRNA from 1 species
GCACUCGCUCCAGGUGUCGGGCGCCGGGUCUGGCCACCGGGCGCAACCGUCGGAGCGGGCUAAUUACUGGCUCGCCGGAUAGCCGGUUCGCCGGCGCUUGGGGGCCAGGCCCGAACUUCUUACCAGAGCGGCGCCCGCCCCUUUUCUCUCCCGGCUUCGACGCUCCUCUGGUUCCCCUCUCUGCUCGGGAGGCUAAGUGCUCGGGAGAGGCGCGGGAGCCAAGACUUAUGCACCCGGAGAGGGACGCGGAGCCAGCGGUCGGGCAAAGCCGCAUUCCCCGCGCUUGGGGCCUCGGCUUUGCCCCUGGGUGCUCCCCGGUUACUUCCAGGGGGAGUAAAGGCUCCGAGGCCUCGUAGCGCUCUUGGUGUUUUUCUGAUAAUUCGUAGUGAUUAAUGUUUUCGUGAAUUCUUAAUUGCCGACCUUGUAGAAAUGCCAGCAUUUAAACAUCCACUGCUCACCCAGAUCUCAAAGUGGUCAAGGAAAAUGCUCUGCUUUUUUCUUAGGUUGUGUAAGGAUUACUUUUACUUGGAAAAAAAAAAAAUCAGUUCAUUUCGAAGAAUAUGUGUAAUGGCAAGGGAUGACCAGAGAGCGUUACAUUCGAAUUUUUGAGUUGAAGAGUGCACACCUCGAACUCGGGGUUGCUUUUUCUUUCUUUACUGUAUGACCUUCCUUGCUGUUUACAGUGUUCUAAAUGCUUUGAAAAACAUCAAGCAACUAGUGAAAUUAGGGAGCGUUGGGAAAAUCGACAGUUUUCAUUUCUCUGCUUUUUUAAAGCAUGUAAAUUGAAAGCUGUCAGGUCCUGUGGAGCAAUGGUCUUAAAAUAAUAACACACAAAGUUCUGGCUAUGCCAAUAACUGUUUUGAAGGCUUUACAAAUAUUAACUCCUUUGUUUUAUAUUUUUGUAGAGACAGGGGUCUCCUAUGUUGCCCAGGCUGCUCUCCAAUUCCUGACCUCAAGCCAUCCGCCCAACUUGGCCUCCCAAAGUGUUGGGAUUACAGGGGUGGUCCACCAUACCCAGCCUUAACUUCUUUAAUCCUCACAGCUUCAUGAAGACUAUAUCAUUAUCCCACUUUUAAAGAUGAGGACAUUUAGCACUUGCAGUGAAGUAAAUGGCACUGCUGCAAUCCAGACCCUGAAUAUGAGGCUGUUAUUAACCAUGUGGCUAUACUAAAAGUGAUAUAAAACACAUUCCUACAACUUUUAUAUAAUUCCUUACUUAGAUAUUUUGAUUGUGAAAAUACGUGAGGAUCAAACUGAUAGUCUCUUCAACAGGCAGACAGUGGCCUUGAAAAUAUAGUCCAAAAGGGAGUGUGGAGAUGCAUGAUUACAUUAAUUCUGAGACAGCAGCGUCACCACGCCCCACCCAAACCAGUAAUUCCUGUGCAAAAGAACUGGUUUAGAAAUCUGCCUCCACCUAGAGUUCUAGAGUAGCAGCAGAGGAUACAUACUUUUAAGGAUUUUUUUUUUUUUUUUGAGAUGGAGUGCCACUCUGUUGCCCAGGCUGGAGUGCAGUGGCAUGAUCUCCGCUGGCUGCAACCUUUGCCUCCACCUAGAGUUCUAGAGCAGCAGCAGAGGAUACAUCUUUCUAAGGAUUUAAUUUUUUUUUUUUGAGACAGAGUCUUACUGUGUUGCCCAGGCUGGAGUGUAGUGGUGCGAUCUUGGCUUACUGCAUCCUCUGCCUCCCAGGUUCAAGUGAUUCUCCUGCCCCAGCCUCCCAAGUAGCUGGGAUUGCAGACAGGCACCACUAUGCCUGGUUAAGUUUUGUAUUUUUAGUAGAGACGGGGUUUCACCAUGUUGGCCAGGCUGGUCUGGAACUCCUGACCUCAAGUGAUCCACCGGCCUUGGCCUCCCAAAGUGCUAGGAUUACAGGCGUAAGCCACCAGGCCUGGCCCGAUUUAAAAUACUUUUGCCAGGCACUUUGGCUCCUGCUUGUAGUCCCAGCAACCCUGGAGACUGAGGUAGGAGGAUACCUUAAGCCCAGGAGUUGGAGGCUGCAGUGAGCUAUGAUGGUGCCACCACACUCCAGCCUAGGCAACAGGGCAAUACCCUGUCUCUCUCAAAAAUAAAUUUAAAAAAUAAAACGUUUUGAAUUUGCGUUUUCUUCAACGUCUUUCCCAAAGCCCAACUUCUUUUAUUCUAAUGGUUGCUUUUAAGAUUCAUUUUGAGGACAAAUCAGGCUCUCUCAAAUAAGAUGCAGUACUAAUCAAAAUAUAUUGACAGCAGAAUAUACCUUUUUCUGUCCAUAUUAUGCUGUAAUGGAUAUUUAAAUUGGUCCUAGGAAUUCUUACAAUCUGGUUGGAAAUUUUGAUUUGAGUUUUCUUUGGAUGUCACUGGAAGGAUUAAUGAGUUUCUCAGAAUCUUUAUGGUGAUUGCUUCACGGUCUUGACAUAUUUCCAACAACCUGGAGCAGAAAUGUGAGGGCAAAGGCUGCCAUAUACUGUUAAGCAAUGUUCAGAGGACCUUAAUACUGCUCCAUAUGUUACAAUAUAUUUUCUAUCUUGAGCUUAACAUUGUAAUACAACUUGAAAUCUUGUGAUUCUAUCUCGAAAUUAACAUUUAAUACAUAAUAUGUCUUGACAUUCUUGUAAUUCUAUCUAGAAAUUAACAUUGUAGUACAUGUAAUACAUCUUGGCAUUUUUGUAAUUCUAUCUUGAAAUUCACAUUGUAAUACAUGUAAUACAUCUUGAAGUUUACAUUGUAACACAUGUAAUACAUCUUGACAUUCUUGUAAUUCUAUCUUGAAAUUAACAUUGUAAUACAUCUUGACAAGUCAACUUUGAACAAACCCAGUGCUUUUUUUCUAUACAGCCAUGGAGUCAGAAAUACAGGAAUUAUAUUCAUAGCUUUAUCAGCCAAAUU